ACUGGAAAGCGUGACGACUUUCUGUAAGCUGAGUGGCGGUCUUUGAAGGGAUGAAUUCAUUCAUUGGUGGAAUAACGGUUAUUGGGUUGCCUUGUAGAAGGUAGUGUCUUACAGAGUAUGGUGUCAACAUUCGAGUCUGAGCGUAGGCUCUGGGCGCGGAGGUUGUUCAAUAUCGAGGUAAUGCCCGAGGGUAGUAAUACAGCAGGGAAAACUCGAAGCACUGGUACGGCUGUGAGAUGGCACACUGGAGAGGAUUUAUCGAAUAAUUGCCAUCAAGAAUGGGAACUACCCCUUUUUU
rfam:Absidia repens strain NRRL 1336 BCR42scaffold_7, whole genome shotgun sequence.